GCACCUGCUGCGUGAGCCGAAGCGCAUUCCCUGCGUUUUGCCACAAAUAGGACAGGAAGCCUGUGACUCGGCCUGACAGAAUAGUGUACGGACGAGUGGGACCGAAGAGCACGGGGGUGACGUCUGCAGACGCGGGAGUCUGACUGCAGAUUGCCUGAAGAAAAGCCAAAGAAAUGGUCUUAAUUGCUCCUGAAGGCAAUGAUGGAUGAAGGAAAGACAGACUGACAAUUUCCAUAGCUGCUCCAAGAUGGAUUUCAUCUCCAAAUGUUUAGAAACACCAUAAAGAAAUGAAGAAUCCAUAUGUGACAACAUAAAUGAAACUGGAGGUCAUUACGUGAUGUGAGAUAAACCAGACACAGAAAGACAAAUACUUCAUGAUCUCACUUACAUGUGGAAUUUUAAAAGUUAAACUUACAGGAUGGUGAUUGCCAGAGGCUGGGAUUGAGGAAGUGGGAAACUGUUGGUCAUAGGGUACAAAAUUAUUCAUUUAUGAGUAAGUUCUGGGCAAUGUACA